rnacentral:rRNA from 1 species
GACGAACGCUGGCGGUGUGCUUAACACAUGCAAGUCGAACGGUAAGGCCCUUUCGGGGGUACACGAGUGGCGAACGGGUGAGUAACACGUGAGUAACCUGCCCUCAUCUCUGGGAUAACAGUCGGAAACGGUUGCUAAUACUGGAUAUGAGCUUGCAAGGCAUCUUGUGGGUUGGAAAGAUUUUUUUGGUUGGGGAUGGACUCGCGGCCUAUCAGCUUGUUGGUGAGGUAGUGGCUCACCAAGGCUUCGACGGGUAGCCGGCCUGAGAGGGCGACCGGCCACAUUGGGACUGGGAUACGGCCCAAACCCCUACGGGGGGCAGCAGGGGGGAAUUUUGCACAAGGGACGGAAGUCUGAGGCAGCAACCCCGGGGGGGGGAUGACGGCCUUCGGGUUGUAAACCGCUUUAAAUUGGGACGAAUCUUUUUGGGGCGGUAGCAGGAGAAGAAGCACCGGCUAACUACGU